GCGCGGAAGAUGUAACGGGGCUAAACCAUGCACCGAAGCUGCGGCAGCGACACUGUGUGUUGUUGGGUAGGGGAGCGUUCUGUAAGCCUGUGAAGGUGUGUCGUGAGGCAUGCUGGAGGUAUCAGAAGUGCGAAUGCUGACAUAAGUAACGAUAAAGCGGGUGAAAAGCCCGCUCGCCGGAAGACCAAGGGUUCCUGUCCAACGUUAAUCGGGGCAGGGUGAGUCGACCCCUAAGGCGAGGCCGAAAGGCGUAGUCGAUGGGAAACGGGUUAAUAUUCCCGUACUUGGUGUUACUGCGAAGGGGGGACGGAGAAGGCUAUGUUGGCCGGGCGACGGUUGUCCCGGUUUAAGCGUGUAGGUGUGUGUUCCAGGUAAAUCCGGUUCACUUUAACACUGAGGCGUGACGACGAGGCACUACGGUGCUGAAGCAACAAAUGCCCUGCUUCCAGGAAAAGCCUCUAAGCAUCAGGUAACAUCAAAUCGUACCCCAAACCGACACAGGUGGUCAGGUAGAGAAUACCAAGGCGCUUGAGAGAACUCGGGUGAAGGAACUAGGCAAAAUGGUGCCGUAACUUCGGGAGAAGGCACGCUGACACGUAGGUGAAGUGAUUUACUCAUGGAGCUGAAGUCAGUCGAAGAUACCAGCUGGCUGCAACUGUUUAUUAAAAACACAGCACUGUGCAAACACGAAAGUGGACGUAUACGGUGUGACGCCUGCCCGGUGCCGGAAGGUUAAUUGAUGGGGUCAGCGCAAGCGAAGCUCCUGAUCGAAGCCCCGGUAAACGGCGGCCGUAACUAUAACGGUCCUAAGGUAGCGAAAUUCCUUGUCGGGUAAGUUCCGACCUGCACGAAUGGCGUAAUGAUGGCCAGGCUGUCUCCACCCGAGACUCAGUGAAAUUGAACUCGCUGUGAAGAUGCAGUGUACCCGCGGCAAGACGGAAAGACCCCGUGAACCUUUACUAUAGCUUGACACUGAACAUUGAGCCUUGAUGUGUAGGAUAGGUGGGAGGCUUUGAAGUGUGGACGCCAGUCUGCAUGGAGCCGACCUUGAAAUACCACCCUUUAAUGUUUGAUGUUCUAACGUGGACCCGUUACCCGGGUUGCGGACAGUGUCUGGUGGGUAGUUUGACUGGGGCGGUCUCCUCCUAAAGAGUAACGGAGGAGCACGAAGGUUGGCUAAUCCUGGUCGGACAUCAGGAGGUUAGUGCAAUGGCAUAAGCCAGCUUGACUGCGAGCGUGACGGCGCGAGCAGGUGCGAAAGCAGGUCAUAGUGAUCCGGUGGUUCUGAAUGGAAGGGCCAUCGCUCAACGGAUAAAAGGUACUCCGGGGAUAACAGGCUGAUACCGCCCAAGAGUUCAUAUCGACGGCGGUGUUUGGCACCUCGAUGUCGGCUCAUCACAUCCUGGGGCUGAAGUAGGUCCCAAGGGUAUGGCUGUUCGCCAUUUAAAGUGGUACGCGAGCUGGGUUUAGAACGUCGUGAGACAGUUCGGUCCCUAUCUGCCGUGGGCGCUGGAGAACUGAGGGGGGCUGCUCCUAGUACGAGAGGACCGGAGUGGACGCAUCACUGGUGUUCGGGUUGUCAUGCCAAUGGCACUGCCCGGUAGCUAAAUGCGGAAGAGAUAAGUGCUGAAAGCAUCUAAGCACGAAACUUGCCCCGA
rnacentral:rRNA from 3 species